rnacentral:rRNA from 1 species
GAUGAACGCUGGCGGCGUGCUUAACACAUGCAAGUCGAACGGUGAAGGCGGAGCUUGCUCUGCUGGAUCAGUGGCGAACGGGUGAGUAACACGUGAGCAAUCUGCCCCUGACUCUGGGAUAAGCGCUGGAAACGGCGUCUAAUACUGGAUACGAGCUGCGAAGGCAUCUUCAGCAGCUGGAAAGAAUUUCGGUCAGGGAUGAGCUCGCGGCCUAUCAGCUUGUUGGUGAGGUAAUGGCUCACCAAGGCGUCGACGGGUAGCCGGCCUGAGAGGGUGACCGGCCACACUGGGACUGAGACACGGCCCAGACCCCAACGGGAGGCAGCAGUAGGGAAUAUUGCACAAUGGGCGAAAGCCUGAUGCAGCAACGCCGCGUGAGGGACGACGGCCUUCGGGUUGUAAACCUCUUUUAGCAGGGAAGAAGCGAAAGUGACGGUACCUGCAGAAAAAGCGCCGGCUAACUACGUG